rnacentral:ncRNA from 1 species
GUCAACCACCCCACCCUAAAGGAUGGGGCUUGAAAGGUGAAAGCCUUGAAAGCCCAGGUUGACCAGACCCAGAAAGGAAUUUAAAAAACCAAUCUACGUUGCCUACAGGUUAUCGGACCAACGGCAGGAUGCUUCUCCAGUCCUGCCCUCUUGAAGCCGCAUCAGCAGACAAGCUUUGGGUAAGCGCGAAACGGGAUGCGGCAGUUCAUCUAAAGUGAACAGCCGGCAGGCAACAGGGUCGAGGAGAGCGAAGACGAAAGUCUU